rnacentral:rRNA from 1 species
UACAUAGGGGGCAAGCGUUAUCCGGAAUUAUUGGGCGUAAAGCGUGCGUAGGUGGUCAGUAAAGUCUGACGUGAAAUACCCUGGCUUAACCAGGGGGGUCGUUGGAAACUGGCUGACUUGAAUCCAGAAGGGGUAAGUGGAAUUCCAUGUGUAGCGGUAAAAUGCAUAGAGAUAUGGAGGAACACCAGUGGCGAAGGCGGCUUACUGGUCUGGAAUUGACACUGAGGCACGAAAGCGUGGGUAGCAAACAGGAUUAGAUACCCUGGUAGUCCCUGA